GUACACAAAAGCGCAUGUGCUGUGAGCUCGAUGAGUAGGGCGGGACACGUGAUAUCCUGUCUGAAUAUGGGGGGACCAUCCUCCAAGGCUAAAUACUCCUGACUGACCGAUAGUGAACCAGUACCGUGAGGGAAAGGCGAAAAGAACCCCGGCGAGGGGAGUGAAAAAGAACCUGAAACCGUGUACGUACAAGCAGUGGGAGCACCCUUCGGGGUGUGACUGCGUACCUUUUGUAUAAUGGGUCAGCGACUUAUAUUCUGUAGCAAGGUUAACCGAAUAGGGGAGCCGGAGGGAAACCGAGUCUUAACCGGGCGUUAAGUUGCAGGGUAUAGACCCGAAACCCGGUGAUCUAGCCAUGGGCAGGUUGAAGGUUGGGUAACACUAACUGGAGGACCGAACCGACUAAUGUUGAAAAAUUAGCGGAUGACCUGUGGCUGGGGGUGAAAGGCCAAUCAAACCGGGAGAUAGCUGGUUCUCCCCGAAAGCUAUUUAGGUAGCGCCUCGUGAAUUCAUCUCCGGGGGUAGAGCACUGUUUCGGCUAGGGGGCCAUCCCGGCUUACCAACCCGAUGCAAACUGCGAAUACCGGAGAAUGUUAUCACGGGAGACACACGGCGGGUGCUAACGUCCGUCGUGAAGAGGGAAACAACCCAGACCGCCAGCUAAGGUCCCAAAGUCAUGGUUAAGUGGGAAACGAUGUGGGAAGGCCCAGACAGCCAGGAUGUUGGCUUAGAAGCAGCCAUCAUUUAAAGAAAGCGUAAUAGCUCACUGGUCGAGUCGGCCUGCGCGGAAGAUGUAACGGGGCUAAACCAU
rnacentral:rRNA from 1 species